CACUUGUCAGCAGAGGCUCUUCUUCAAAGAUAUCUCCAGGACAUGGGUUGAAGAAAGCUUUCAUCAUCUUAGCUGUGCCAUCUGGAACAUGUGGUCACAGCAGUUGUCAUCACAAGGAAUAAAGGAAUUGAUAUCAUUCAAAAGCUUCCCACCACCCCAGUCUGGAAGUGAACACAUCAUUCCUGCUAAUAUGUAAAUGUCACAGAAUAGUCACAUGGCCCCUGGGAGGAGGUGAAAAAUCUGGAAAAACACAUCUGAUAUUUGGUGAACAAGACUAAUUUUUGUCACAGGCAUUUUCUAAUGUCAGUGAAUGAACAUAUGAUCUUUAGUGCUCAAGGUAUGCCAUUGUUUGUGUAAAAUUAAGUUUAUAAUGUAACACUUACCCUUUGCAUCUAAUGUGGAAACAUAAAGUAACACCAGGAAGCACUCCAUGCCUGCUGCUGCUGCUGCUGUCGCUUCAGUCUUGUCCGAUUCUGUGAAACCCCAUAAAUGGCAGUCCACCAGGCUCCCCCGUCCCUGGGAUUCUCCAGGCAAGAACACUGGAGUGGGUUGCCAUUUCCUUCUCCAAGGCAUGAAAGGGAAAAGUGAAAGUGAAGUCGCUCAGUUGUGUCCAACUCUCCGUGACCCCAUGGACUGCAGCCUACUAGGCUCCUCCAUCCAUGGGAUUUUCCAGGCAAGAGAGCUGGAGUGGGGUGCCAUUGCCUAGUGAAGAACAAACAUGAGGCUGUCUACUAGAGCAAGGUCAGUUCAGUUCAGUUCAGUCGCUCAGUCAUGUCCAACUCUUUGCAACCCCAUGAAUUGCAGCACGUCAGGACUCCCGGAGUUCACUCAGACUCAUGUCCAUUGAGUUGGUGAUGCCAUCCAGCCAUCUCAUCCUCUAUCAUCCCCUUUUCCUUCUGUCCCCAUUCCCUCCCAGCUCACAUCAGGUGGCCAAAGUAUUGGAGUUUCAGCUUUAGCAUCAUUCCUUCCAAAGAAAUCCCAGGGCUGAUCUCUUUUAGAAUGCACUGGUUGGAUCUCCUUGCAGUCCAAGGGACUCUCAAGAGUCUCCUCCAACAUCACAGUUCAAAAGCAUCAAUUCUUUGGCACUCAGCUUUCUUCACAGUCCAAUUCUCACAUCCAUACAUGACCACAGGAAAAACCAUAGCCUUGACUAGACGGACCUUAGUCGGCAAAGUAAUGUCUCUGCUUUUUAAUAUGUUAUCUAGGUUGGUCAUAACUUUCCUUCCAAGGAGUAAGCGUCUUUUAAUUUCAUGGCUGCAAUUAUUUCAUUCUAAUACAAGGAUUUGUUUAAAGGGAGGGUUAGUUUUCUAUUCAGUUCAGUUCAGUCAGGCUUUUCAUUCACUGAGAUUUGUCAUCUCGGGGGUUUCUCUCAGCUUUCCUGCCCUCCCCCAGCAGUCAUGCUCUAAGUGA
rnacentral:lncRNA from 1 species